CAAGGAAUCUUGCGCAAUGGGCGAAAGCCUGACGCAGCGACGCCGCGUGAGGGAAGAAGGACUUCGGUUCGUAAACCUCUUUUCUCAGGGAAGAAUAAUGACGGUACCUGUGGAAUAAGUCACGGCUAACUACGUGCCAGCAGCCGCGGUAAUACGUAGGUGGCAAGCGUUAUCCGGAUUCAUUGGGCGUAAAGCGGGAGUAGGUGGCUUUUCAAGUCGGAUGUGAAAUUUCCCGGCUUAACUGGGAAGGGUCAUCCGAUACUGUUAGGCUAGAGGGCAGCAGAGGGAGAUGGAAUUCCUAGUGUAGGAGUGAAAUGCGUAGAUAUCGGGAGGAACACCUGUGGCGAAAGCGAUCUCCUGGGCUGUUCCUGACACUGAGGCCCCAAAGCGUGGGGAGCAAACAGGAUUAGAUACCCUGGUAGUCCACGCCCUAAACUAUGGACACUAGGUAUGGGGGGUAUCGACCCUCUCCGUGCCGAAGCCAACGCAUUAAGUGUCCCGCCUGGGAAGUACGGUCGCAAGACUA
rnacentral:rRNA from 1 species